GCUUUGAAGUAAGAGAAGAACGAGUGAGAGAGUGGAAAGUUCUCACUGUGACGGUAUCUUACCAGUAAGGGACGGCCAACUACGUGCCAGCAGCCGCGGUAAUACGUAGGUCCCGAGCGUUGUCCGGAUUUAUUGGGCGUAAAACGAGCGCAGGCUGUUAGAUAAGUUUGAAGUUAAAGGCCGUGGCUUAACCAUAGUACGCUUUGUAAACUGUUUUACUUGAGUGCAGAAGGGGAGAGCGGAAUUCCAUGUGUAGCGGUGAAAUGCGUAGAUAUAUGGAGGACCACCGGUGCAGAAAGCGGCUCUCUGGUCCCUAUCGGACGGCGAGGCUUGAAAGCGUGGGGAGCGAUCAGC
rnacentral:rRNA from 1 species